AGGACUGUAUUUCCCAGGGUCCACCGCGCCGGAAGUAAGGGAUCCAAUUCCGGUGUCGUGCGUGGGCACCGCGGAAAUUGACAUUUAUGGUCGUUGAAGAAACCAGUUUGGUCUAAGUCUUCACAGACUCUCUUCAUUAUGGAUCUGCAUCUCCCACUCUCCACCCCGAUGCUGCACAUCCAGCCUCCGCCACUCAAACCCCAGUAACCGGCAUCUUACUGUUCCUAGGAGAAAACAGCUUCAAGACUCUACAUGAGUGAGGUUGUGUAAUUCAGAGCUUAUAUUUGCCAACAAACUUUAAGCACUGUAGCUGGGCAGAUUCU
rnacentral:lncRNA from 1 species